CUCUGCUGUCACAUCCAUGCCUUUUAUCAUUGCUUCCACCUCAGGUUCAGGUGCUAUUUUCAGAGCUGGCAAUGGUGGAAGAAGAGAUUAGUAGGCUGGAAA